AUUGAACGCUGGCGGCAUGCUUUACACAUGCGAGUCGAACGGCAGCGCGGGCUUCGGCCUGGCGGCGAGUGGCGAACGGGUGAGUAAUACAUCGGAACGUGCCCAGUAGUGGGGGAUAGCUCGGCGAAAGCCGGAUUAAUACCGCAUACGACCUGAGGGUGAAAGCGGGGGAUCUUCGGACCUCGCGCUAUUGGAGCGGCCGAUGGCAGAUUAGCUAGUUGGUGGGGUAAAGGCCUACCAAGGCGACGAUCUGUAGCUGGUCUGAGAGGACGACCAGCCACACUGGGACUGAGACACGGCCCAGACUCCUACGGGAGGCAGCAGUGGGGAAUUUUGGACAAUGGGCGAAAGCCUGAUCCAGCAAUGCCGCGUGUGUGAUGAAGGCCUUCGGGUUGUAAAGCACUUUUGGCGGGAACGAAAAGGACUGUGCCAAUACCACGGUUCGAUGACGGUACCCCCAGAAUAAGCACCGGCUAACUACGUG
rnacentral:rRNA from 1 species